UACGGAGGGUGCGAGCGUUGUCCGGAAUCAUUGGGCGUAAAGGGCGCGUAGGCGGCCCCGUGCGCGCGCCGUGAAAGCCCGGGGCUCAACCCCGGGUCGGCGGGGCGGACGGCGGGGCUGGAGCAUACCAGAGGCGGGCGGAAUUCCGGGUGUAGCGGUGGAAUGCGUAGAGAUCCGGAAGAACACCGGGGGCGAAGGCGGCUCACUGGACCGUAGAUGACGCUGAGGUGCGAAAGCGUGGGGAGCAAACAGG
rnacentral:rRNA from 1 species